UCAGAACCCCCCUCCUUUCAUCGUCUCUCUCUCUCAGAAACCAACCCCCAAACCCUAGCGCCGCCACCAUUCCCCCACCGCCUUAGGGUGGCGGCGCCACCUCCAAACACCUCAAAAAUUACACCCCUUAACCACCCAGACCCCCUUUUCCCAAAUCCUUACUCCAUUUCCCUCGAACAUGGUCUGAACUCUUCGAAUUUCAAAUCUAGGGUUCGAGCCUUAGAAGCCAUAGCGAGUUCGUUCAUGCAAAGACAUCCCUCGAGGUUUUACUCAACAUUCAAGGUCCAUUUAGUCCUGAAAUAACAUUGUUCGCUUGUUCUUGGCAAAGAACAAGCGGAUGACGUUAUUUGGGGAUUAAAUUAGAGGGUAAGUCACGAGGUCAAGUCGAAUCGGUGAGUUUCUUCAUUUUUCAUUUUGUUCUUCUUAGCUUCCUUUCCUCUUCUCUUCUUUUCUUUCUUUCCGAUUGAAUAAAUUAAAAUUGGAACAAAUUUUAGCUAAAAUUGAUUAUUGGUUGUGUUGUUCCUUUCCCGUUUUUCUUCUCCAAGUUUUGUUAUGUGAUUUUUCUUGUUUGGUCUGUUUGAUUCUGUCAUUAACAACAUGUUUAAAUUCUGAUUUUUCCAGUCGUAUAAUUAAUUUAAUUUAAAUCUUGCUAAUCUGAUAGUGUAGUCUAAUUACAGCUCCCUAAUCAAUUUUAAAAGGAGAAUCAGUCAUUUAGCUAGAAUUUUUUUUGAAACUCGUUUAGUUGUUUAACUCGUCUGGUCUUUCAUUGAGUAGUCGAGAUAGAAUUCGAAUUCUGUUUGGGCCCUGGGUUUAGUUCCGACCCAUUUAUUUCAAAGAACAGCCCAUUCAUUUGGGUUUAAUUUGGUCCAUUUGGUUUUGAAGCAAUUAGCAGGGAGUCUCACCUAAUUUAAGAAGUUUCCCAUAGUGGUAGGGUUUAGGAAAAUGCACUACUGAUUAAUUUAAAGAACUAAGUUAAGUGGAGUUAAUUAAAAUUAUUGAAAGGGCAUUUGUGAAUCCAAGGGGGCAUUUUCUACUGCCUAUAUAGAGGAGACCACAGGGAGAAGAGAGGGAAGGAGAUGGAAAGAACAAAAGAGAAUUAAGAAAAAAAGAGAUAGUUGAGAGAGAUAACUGAAAAGAACACUGUAUUCUUUGGUUUGGUUGAAAAUUGCUCCAAAUUGGGUUUUGUUUCUGGUUGUCUGGCUUUCUUAUUUAGCUAUAAGCUUCUGAAAAAUCACAAAUCCUUGUAUCUGGAAAGAAUAGUUUGAGUUUUGGGUAUUUAGAAGUUUGGUAUAAGCUGCUUUGGUCCUGGGGUCCUGUUAUUGUUUCACUGCUGCUUCUACUCUUGCUGUUUCGCUUUUCAGCUCACUUCACUUAUUUCCAUUUGCUCUCAUCAGGUACACUUCUACAUUUCACAUAAUGUAAGGUUUGAUUUGGAAUCAAGAUGGCAUUCGGAGCUUUGAUUAGUAGUUGUAAUUAGUUUUUUUUUGGUUCAUGAUUUAGCUUACUUGGUUUACUUGCUUAAGUUUCUAGUUUAUGAUAUAUGGCAUCCUGCUAGUUGUUAAUAAACACUGUGUUGUGAGCUGCAUCUGGCUGUAAAUCAGUGGGGUAAUUCAGUUUCUCAUUUAGAUGCCUCCUAGUUAAUUAUUGGCAAUUUGUACAGGGUGCUGAACUAGGGAAUCAACUCUUAUAAAAUAAUGUAAUGGCAAUGUGCUGCACCUGAAUUGCUAUGCCUGUUAGUUCAUUAAGUUCUGCUGUAAUUUUAGUUUAGUAGUAUUCUGUUUGGAUACGAUGUAUAAAGAUAUAGGUGAUGUCCGCUUUAUGAACCAUGUUUAAUUCAAUAGAAGUGUUAUUUUAUUCAAUUUUGUAUGAAGUUAACUGAUUGUUGCUUAUCAUAAAAGAGAAG
rnacentral:lncRNA from 1 species